AAUUCAAGCCACUGAAAAAAAAUUUAGAAGAGACCUGUGGAACAGUGGACUUCUGGGCUGACCCAAGCACAGACUGUACACAUCAGACAAUUUGGAAAGCACCUGGCAGUCACUGUGGAGAAGGAUCUCUGAUUAGCUUGCUGCCGGUCCACUGAUGAUGCUCACCUGCAGGACUCAGCCCACCCAAUUUCUACCUGGAUCUUGUACUGGGGUGUGGGUGCCCCCCGCAGGAUUGCUUCCCCCAGGGGUCUGUGCUGAGGUACAAGAUCACCAGACUUACCUAGGGCAAAUGAAAGAAGUACAGCCAGGCAGGAUCUGAACUGUAUUGACCAGGGAAGUGAAAGUCAAAACUGUAGAGGUGGUUCCAAGCAUCAAGUUUGGUGAAGGAUGAGGUGAGAUGUCAACAGCAAGAUGCAUCAGCAGAGCAGAAGGAAGAAGGAAGCAGAACCCAAGGCAGCUUGAGGCAAGUUGACCAGAAGAGAGGAUAUGAAAUGGAUGGACGUGUCAGAGGUCCAUUUCUACUUGACGGAGACAAAUCCUCAAGGAGACAUUGUAAUUUCCUUUGAAAUAUUGGAAAGCAGCAAUCAUGUGGACUGUAGAGUAAGACGGGCCAGGAUGGAAUCCCAGUCAGGCUUCUCUGUGACCUAGAGCUCCUGCAGCCCAUUAACCUUCCUUUAAUUUUCUUUAACACUGGGAUAACAACCAGAAAGCCAUAGAGCUAUUGAGAGGAGCUAACACAGGUAAUCUGGCUCUAGGAAGACUCAAGGAUUACUUGUGGAAUUUAAACAAAGUGAACCAGAUCUUAAUCCCAGUGUAUUUUAAUUCCAAGUUUGGUUUGUUUCUCCCUGAUGAGUUACCACCAACCCCAA
rnacentral:lncRNA from 1 species